GAAAUGCGAUACGUAAUGUGAAUUGCAGAAUUCAGUGAAUCAUCGAAUCUUUGAACGCACCUUGCGCCCCUUGGUAUUCCGAGGGGCACACCCGUUUGAGUGUCGUGUACAUCCUCAACCUUCUUGGUUUCUUGACCGAGAAGGCUUGGACUUUGGAGGUUUUCCUUGCUGGCCUCUCUUUUGAAGCCAGCUCCUCCUAAAUGAAUUAGUGGGGUCCGCAUUGCCGAUCCUUGACGUGAUAAGUAUUGCUUCUACGUCUUGGGUUUCGCACCGUUGUCCUGGAACCUGCUUCUAACGGUCUUCAAAAGAAGACAACGUUCGAGUUGCAUCGCAACUUGACCUCAGUGACCUUGACCUCAAAUUCGGGUGAGACUACCCGCUGAACUUAA
rnacentral:rRNA from 1 species